rnacentral:rRNA from 1 species
UACGUAGGGUGCGAGCGUUGUCCGGAAUUACUGGGCGUAAAGAGCUCGUAGGUGGUUUGUCGCGUUGUUCGUGAAAACUCACAGCUUAACUGUGGGCGUGCGGGCGAUACGGGCAGACUGGAGUACUGCAGGGGAGACUGGAAUUCCUGGUGUAGCGGUGGAAUGCGCAGAUAUCAGGAGGAACACCGGUGUCGAAGGCGGGUCUCUGGGCAGUAACUGACGCUGAGGAGCGAAAGCGUGGGGAGCGAACAGG